CAAUAGCGUAUAUUAAAGUUGUUGCAGUUAAAAAGCUCGUAGUUGGAUUUCUGGUGGGAGCGAUCGGUCUGGCGCUUAGCGCGAGUACUUGCAUCGUCUCCGGCCAUCCUUGGGGAGAGUCUGUCUGGCAUUAGGUUGUCGGGCAGAGGAUCCUCAUCGUUUACUGUGAAAAAAUUAGAGUGUUCAAAGCAGGCUUAUGCCGUUGAAUAUAUUAGCAUGGAAUAAUAAGAUAGGACUUUGGUACUAUUUUGUUGGUUUGCGCACCAAAGUAAUGAUUAAUAGGGACAGUUGGGGGUAUUCGUAUUCCGUUGUCAGAGGUGAAAUUCUUGGAUUUACGGAAGACGUACUACUGCGAAAGCAUUUACCAAGGAUGUUUUCAUUAA
rnacentral:rRNA from 1 species